rnacentral:rRNA from 1 species
CCUACGGGAGGCAGCAGUGGGGAAUUUUGCGCAAUGGGGGCAACCCUGACGCAGCAACGCCGCGUGAGUGAUGAAGGCCUUCGGGUCGUAAAGCUCUGUCAGAGGGGAAGAAAUGCAGGUGGUGAACAACCAUUCUGUUUGACGGUACCCUCAAAGGAAGCACCGGCUAACUCCGUGCCAGCAGCCGCGGUAAUACGGAGGGUGCGAGCGUUGUUCGGAAUUAUUGGGCGUAAAGCGCGUGUAGGCGGUUUGUUAACUCUGAGGUAAAAGCCCCGGGCUAAACCUGGGAAGUGCAUUGGAUACUGGCAGACUUGAGUACGGGAGAGGAGAGUGGAAUUCCCAGUGUAGGGGUAAAAUGCGUAGAUAUUGGGAGGAACACCGGUGGCGAAGGCGGCUCUCUGAACCGAAACUGACGCUGAGACGCGAAAGCGGGGGGAGAAAACAGGAUUAGAUCCCCCUGUAGU